AGGAUGGUAAAAUCAUGAUGGGAAUGCACCCGCUUUAGCAUCCAGCCCGCCUAGAUUCCUGAACUGACAAUCUGUCUAGUAACAACAUGAUAAAUCUGUAAUAACAGCGAUGUCCUAAUGCCACACUUGGAAAACAGCGCAAACAAUUAUACAUCUCUGGCCCUUGUAUGAGAAAUCACUUCUUGUGUAAAAGUUCUGUCUGUUUUUCCCCAGACAAUAGUAUAGAAGGCAUUGUGUGCCCGAGCCACGAUCUGCCUAAGGUUCCUGUAGCUCGUACCGUAUAUAUACAAUUUAGGUCAGCCAGUAACCUUCAUGCUUUUAUGAGUUUAUCCCAGUAAGAAAUCCAGCCUCGCAGGUACUUGGUACAUAAUGAUAUCUGGCAGUCGCUCUUGGGUGUGGUGACUUCAACAAUGCAGAACGCUAUUGCCGAAAGCUUUCACUGCAGUUGUGAGAUAAGGAAGCAUAUUAAAGAGACAAGAAGGGGAAAGGAAAAAAUAGAGUCUUCUGCAGCAGAGCAGCUUGCAAUGCGGUUGAGACCUGACUCACUAGUGAGCUGAUGACAGGGAGCCUGUCUGCUUCAAUGGGUGGAGAGAGCAAUCUGCAAGUAAAGCAACAGCUGGAGGCACCCUGAUUGAAAACCACAGAAAUGUACAUCAAACUGCAUUAAUGACCUUCUGGACACAACAAUGUUAUACCUACCAGUCAUGUGUAUGGAUCUGCAUUCCCGGGUUCCUCCAGCAUCGGCCCCUCACUGAUGAAGAAUGAGUGUUAUUUCUGCUCAGUGCUGCUCUCUGGUGGACAAUAGUUAUGAUAUCACAUGUAUGACACACUGUUGUGGUGUUCUAGUCCCGUACCUUGUACCGUACCUUAUGUGCUAAGUCCCCAAAGUCAGAGUUCCUGCAUACCAGUAGGAUCCUCCUAGUGGGAUAACUGCUUGUCACCUCUUCCUUCUUUAAUUUUAUGUGUUUGAUGUAUAUAAUUUAUAGAUAUGUAUAGUACUUCCAGGACCUGAGGUCACAUGACUAUUUAGCCUACUGUUAGGUUAAGCUUAAGGACCUUCCAGGUCACAUGAGUGGGUCACAUGAUGUACCACAAUGCUUUGUGAAAGGACUGACAGUUGGUGGAACCAAUAAGCUAUGAGCCUGCUCCCUUGCCAUAUAAGGGCGCUGUUACCCAAUCAUCAAUCUCUUGGUUCCUGUACUGCAAAGCAGUAACAUCUCUCUUGGGUUCCGGACUUGCAGAGAGAGAGAAGCUCCGUGUAUACCUGCAAGACAAAUCUAUGCCUGAAGCCUGCUAGCUUCAACCGAAUACAAAACCAUCUAAACUCCAUCCUAAAUCUACGUGGCUACUGAACCUAAAACCAAACCCUAAAUUCAGUGGAACAGCGUAACGCACGCCUCAGAGCUUAUUUUCCUACUAGGUCCCAACCAACUGUGAGGAACUUAAAGUCGCUCCUCUGUAAAGACUGUUACUCCUGUUAACCUGCAUAAGAAGUUGCAGUAAAGUUAUUUAAAGUUUA